rnacentral:rRNA from 1 species
AUUGAACGCUGGCGGAAUGCUUUACACAUGCAAGUCGAACGGCAGCACGGACUUCGGUCUGGUGGCGAGUGGCGAACGGGUGAGUAAUACAUCGGAACGUGCCCAAUCGUGGGGGAUAACGUAGCGAAAGCUACGCUAAUACCGCAUACGAUCUAAGGAUGAAAGCGGGGGAUCGCAAGACCUCGCGCGAUUGGAGCGGCCGAUGGCAGAUUAGGUAGUUGGUAGGGUAAAGGCCUACCAAGCAGACGAUCUGUAGCUGGUCUGAGAGGAUGAUCAGCCACACUGGGACUGGGACACGGCCCAGACUCCUACGGGAUGCAGCAGUGGGGAAUUUUGGACAAUGGACGCAAGUCUGAUUCAGCCAUUCCGCGUGCAGGAUGAAGGCCCUCGGGUUGUAAACUGCUUUUGUACGGAACGAAACGGUGAGCUCUAAUACAGUUUGCUAAUGACGGUACCGUAAGAAUAAGCACCGGCUAACUACGUGCCAGCAGCCGUCGUAA